rnacentral:rRNA from 1 species
UACGGAGGGAGCUAGCGUUGUUCGGAAUUACUGGGCGUAAAGCGCGCGUAGGCGGCCCGGUAAGUCCGCUCUGAAAGUCCAGGGCUCAACCCUGGAAAGCGGGUGGAUACUGCCGGGCUAGAAUCCGGAAGAGGCGAGUGGAAUUCCUGGUGUAGCGGUGGAAUGCGUAGAUAUCGGGAGGAACACCAGUGGCGAAGGCGGUUACCUGGAGCUUUGCUGACGCUGAUGCGCGAAAGCGUGGGGAGCGAUCCGG